UACAGAGGCCACGAGCGUUAGGCGGAAUCACUGGGCUUAAAGCGUGUGUAGGCGGAACGGUAAGUACCUUGUGAAAUCCCCGGACUCAAUCCGGGAACUGCUUGGUAUACUGCCGAUCUCGAGGCAGGUAGGGGUCACUGGAACCUUAGGUGGAGCGGUGAAAUGCGUAGAUAUCUAAGGGAACGCCUGUGGCGAAAGCGGGUGACUGGGCCUGUCCUGACGCUGAGACGCGAAAGCGUAGGGAGCAAACGGG
rnacentral:rRNA from 1 species